rnacentral:rRNA from 1 species
GACGAACGCUGGCGGCGUGCUUAACACAUGCAAGUCGAACGGAAAGGCCCUGCUUGCAGGGUCCUCGAGUGGCGAACGGGUGAGUAACACGUGGGUGAUCUGCCCUUCACUUCGGGAUAAGCCUGGGAAACUGGGUCUAAUACCGGAUAGGAGCCAUUUUUAGUGUGAUGGUUGGAAAGUUUUUUCGGUGUAGGAUGAGCUCGCGGCCUAUCAGCUUGUUGGUGGGGUAAUGGCCUACCAAGGCGGCGACGGGUAGCCGGCCUGAGAGGGUGGACGGCCACAUUGGGACUGAGAGGCGGCCCAGACUCCUACGGGAGGCAGCAGUGGGGAAUAUUGCACAAUGGGCGCAAGCCUGAUGCAGCGACGCCGCGUGGGGGAUGACGGCCUUCGGGUUGUAAACUCCUUUCGCUAGGGACGAAGCUUUUUGUGACGGUACCUAGAGAAGAAGCACCGGCUAACUACGUG